UAUUAGUUUGUUAAUCCCCAAAAAAUCAAAAAAGCCCCAAGCUAUUCUAUUGCGGUUUCUUCGAGCUUCUUCACUCGCGAAGUCCUCCGUUCAACUUCAUCCGAAUUCCUCCAAUUGGUGAAUCGUUUGUUCAGAUUAUCUGAGUGAGCGUUUCUUGGACUGGAUUCAGGGCAUCAGAUUCAGGGGAAUUAGGUUUACAAUUUGAUGCCUUCCUUUGAAACAUAUGGGAGAAAGGAAAGAGGAGGAUUUGUAUCGUAACUUCUCAAGAAAGGAUCUCCAAGGCUUGUGCAAGAAAUAUGGUCUACCUGCUAAAAAGUCAAACUCUGAAAUGGCAACAUCCUUGAUUUUAUAUCUCGAGCACUGGUUUUUAUGAGUUUAUGACCUCCUUACCUUGGGUGUUCUUGUGGAUUUUUCCUAUGAUUGCAAUGGUGUAUCUUUAUGUUCCAGGAGCUUAGUAGCGAGGCGACUCAUGAUUGGGUAAAACUAAUAGUAACAAUGACAUGUGGAGGAGAUCCUUACAUGAAGCUUGAGUUGGAAUGAUAUGGACUAACAUUGUGGGUUAUACAUUUUCUACAAUGUGGAAGAACAACAAUAGUUAUGGUUUUUUAGCUUGUCAAACUUUUGACGGAUUCUCUAGACUUUUUUAUCGUAUUGAACCGUUAGCUAAGAUUGUAGAUACUUUUGUUAUUGGUACUUGUGUUUGGACAUCUAUGUACUUAUGAAUUAUGUUUUAUCACGA